ACGCCCGCUUCCCAGAGUCACCUAUCCUAGGACUAUUCUAGCUCUAACAUGCUUAACUUACUUAACCUCUUGGGUCUAUUCACUGCUUAAAAAUACUAUAGUAGGUUAAGAGGUUUAACCCUAUUAUAUUUUAUAUAUAGGAUUAUUCCAAAUCCUAGGGAUGUCACAUCGACUCAUCUCCCUAGCUUUUCACCAACCUUGUGAGGAACUGUGCUCUACCCAUAAUGAUUAUCAGCCAAGGAGCUGCGCUUUGUCCAUUGUAUAAUCUUAGCUCAACUAAGAUUCAUCUCAUAUUUUCUGCUGGUGAUUGGCUCUGAUACCAAUUGUGACGCCUGCUUCCUAGGAGGUCACUCAUUCUAAGACUAUUCUAGCCCUAGCACGCUUAACUCUCUUAACCUCUUGAGCCUAGUCACUGCCCAAAAUGCUAUAACCGGUAUAAGAGGAUUAGCUUUAUUAAAUCUUACAUAUAGAAUUAUUUCAAAUUCUUGGGAUGUCACAACUCAGUCUCCAACCAGAGAAGAG
rnacentral:lncRNA from 1 species